UGAGGAAUAUUGGUCAAUGGGCGGAAGCCUGAACCAGCCAUCCCGCGUGAAGGAAGAAGGCCUUAUGGGUUGUAAACUCCUUUUCUGUUUGAAGAAUAAGCUUGUCGAGACAAGUGAUGCCGGUAGGACAGGAAUAAGCAUCGGCUAACUCCGUGCCAGCAGCCGCGGUAAUACGGAGGAUGCAAGCGUUAUCCGGAUUUAUUGGGUUUAAAGGGUGCGCAGGUGGUUUAAUAAGUCAGUGGUGAAAGUCUGCCGCUUAACGGUAGGAUUGCCAUUGAUACUGUUGGACUUGAAUAUGGAUGAGGUAGGCGGAAUGUGUAGUGUAGCGGUGAAAUGCUUAGAUAUUACACAGAACACCGAUUGCGAAGGCAGCUUACUGAUACAUGAUUGACGCUGAGGCACGAAAGCGUGGGGAUCAAACAG
rnacentral:rRNA from 1 species